CGUCGAACACGACGAGUAGUCUUAACCCCCGGUGGCUGAAGCGGCUUUGCCCGCAGGGAGAUGCGAUGGCAGCGCGCCCGCGGAGGAAACCACCCAGGACGUCCACGGGCCGCCGGCUAACGCGAGCCCAGACUGGCAUCCUUUGAACAGCCGACCGUGCUUCUCCUUUGAGAAUCCUGCCCCGCUGGUUAAGUAGUUUCCUGCAGGAAAACCGUCUCCAGAAGUCCGCUCGGCGGCGAGCAGUGUGCGGGGACCACAGGCCCUGCUGCCGGCCCUCCUGUCGGCCGUCGCCCAGGGGCGUUGCACCCUCUCCAGGUCCAGGUUGGUCCGCAUCUGCACAGCCAGCUCUGGGAACUGAAGUAAGGCAAGACUUCCACACCUGUGGCAUCUCCUGUAACACUGACAGCGUCGCCUGGAGACUUCGUUUCGCAAGUCUUCAUCCUCCAGUAUCUGUUCUAUAGCAGACUGUGGUCUACGCCUUAGCAAGGUCGGUAUUGCUCUCUUCCCUUCCCUUCUGGGGAAGACUUGAUCGCUUUAGUAUCUUUCCAGGCCCUCUGUAAAAAUCACUGUUUCCACACCAUGUGUAGGGAAUGUUCACAUGUAACAGGAGUCAGUUUAUCUGCUUACUCCAUCUUUUAUUUUGCUUUGCUCAACUUGCUUCAGUUCUGUCUUAGGCUGCUUACACCUGUGGCUGACGUGCCAGCAAAAUGUGUUUCACGUUGUAUUUUUCAAUGAACUACAAACCUCGAUGGUUAAAAAGGCUGAUGUAUUCUAACGAGCCUUGCAGGCAGAAAUUUCCAGGAAAUCCAGCAGUGCUUAAGCUAAAGCUUUGAAAGUCUGUAGUCCCUGCCCUGGAUGGUCAUGAAUGCUUACGUAAGAUCAGAAGAGGGCUACCACCAGCUUUUUGUUUUGUUUUGUUUUGUUUUGUUUUUUAACACGAACAUACGACAGAACAAACCAGAAUGUACUUAACAUGGUACGCGAACACAUUAACAGGCUGUUCUUAUUAGCUGUUUGCAGGCCUAAAACACAGACGUUCAAGAUUAGGCUUCUCAUGACUUGGUGGUGCUACUCGGGGGUGUGGCUGAGCGCAAGUCCUCAGGACAGAUUCCCAGAUGGCGGGACAGAAGGUGCUGGGUCCUCGAGGGGAAGAGAGAAGGGCUGUUGCAGGUGCAGCCGAUGGAUUCUGGACGAUGGGUUCAGGUCAGUUUCACCACGGAGGGAUUCCGUAAGCUCAAAUCCCCCGCUGCAUACACCUAAUUAACAACACUGAUCAGUCCCUCAAUUUCUUCACAGCGGAGAUCAGUUCAAAUAUACAAGAAUCAUUCUGUCCGGUUCUAUCCUGACAUGGCGUUGCCAUCCAUCUGUGAGCUCAUUCCGCUCCAUCACAAUAUCUUUUAUAUGGAAUCCUUCGGGGACGUGAAGCCUUUGAUUCACAGUUUGCAGUACAAAUACCCUGAUACAUCAUUUAUUUGCUAUUAAGUAUUUGAUUAUUACGCCUUUUAAAA